rnacentral:lncRNA from 1 species
UCCGUUGGAUAUCCACACCAUCCUUCUCGCUGCAGGGAACCAAACAACAAGAAAUUGUUGUUUCCCGUGGGAAGAUCUUGGAGCUGCUUCGCCCAGACCCCAACACUGGCAAAGUACAUACCCUACUCACUGUGGAAGUAUUCGGUGUUAUCCGGUCACUCAUGGCCUUUAGGCUGACAGGUGGCACCAAAGACUACAUUGUAGUUGGCAGUGACUCUGGUCGAAUUGUUAUUUUGGAAUACCAGCCAUCUAAGAAUAUGUUUGAGAAGAUUCACCAAGAAACCUUUGGCAAGAGUGGAUGCCGUCGCAUCGUUCCUGGCCAGUUCUUAGCUGU